AAACCUAAAUCUAAUACCCUAACAGCCUAACGCAGCCCCAACCCCAUUCCCACCCUCUCCUCUCUGAAACUGAAAAUGGAAAUUGAAAGAACAAAGUGAAGAACCCUAGCCCCUAGCUCCCAGCCCCCAGCCCCCAGCCCCGCUCGUUUUCAUCGCCACUCUUCUCCGCUGGGUAUAGGCGUGUUUGUGGAAGCAUCGUUGCGUGUGGAAGCUCCGUCGCGUGUGGAAGCUCCGUCGUCGUCUCCUCUGUUCGAGAGCUCUCUCUUUGUGUUCACGUGUGGAGGCUCUGUCGCCGUCGCGUGAAAGCUCUAUCGCCGCGCGUGAGAGCUAUGUUCGAGCUCUCCCUCUCUCUGUCUUCGCCAUUGUCUGUCUCUUGCUGCCGGAAAAACAAGGUGGACAACCGGGAGCUUAUUGGUGGUGGGAAAGUGAAUGAUAGCAUGGCAAAGGGUCCCCAAAGGAAUAGUUAGAUCCAUAUUGCCAUGAAUCUCAAUUUGGGAGGAGGUAAUGAAACAAUUGAAGAUGAUAGUUUCUCCCGUCAUUGUUGAAGUAGAACUUCUGGUCUUAUAUUAUAGUUUAAUGCAUUAUCUCUUGGGACACAGUUUUGGAUUUUAUGUACUCAGAUAAUAAAUGUAUCAAUUGGUCUUUAGAUGAUAUUUAAAAGUCUCCUAUCUUUUACCAAAAAAAAUUGAAGAGAAGGCCUUAUACCUAUAUAUCAUCAUAUUGUGUGCAAGUUUGAAACAAUUGUUUGUUAGUAUUUCUUUUGAUAGUAGAACAUUAUGUGUCUGUCUUUAUGUGCGUUUUGAUUGUUUUUAGUUAUGAACUUUGAUGUUUGAAAUUGUUUGUGAACUUCUAAUAUUAAAUUAUGGAUAAUUUAUUAUGUGAAA